CCUAGAAUAGACCAAUCCGAGCGCGUCCAGGUCAGGGUCACUGGUGGCCCUUUCUAGUUAACCAGGUCGACCCCAUUUAAGCCUCGGUCUAGGUUAGCUUCACUUCAGCGGGAACCUACUCGCAGAGCAGGCCGGUUCUUUCCGGCUCGAGCAGGUCCGGACCCGCCCCUCUGGCGGCUACGCAGUCUCGGAGGCCCGCCCGUUUAGUUCAGGGCCAGACAGCCAGCGGCGGCGGGUACCGCUAAGGUUUGGCUCCAGCAGCUACUAUUGGUACCACCACUAGUUCAAGCACCAUGCAGUUUACCUCAGCAUCAAAUGUUUUGACCUCCACUGCUGGUGUUGGGCUCUCAUUUACAACUUCAACGACUGCCACCACCACAGUCACCACCACCACUAUUACCACAGUCACCAGUGGCUUUACUGUGAACCAACAACUGUCAUCAGGAGGGUUUGAAAACCGUGUACCUUAUAUUUCAACUGUUAGGGUCCUUUUGCUGAAUAAAAACUUUUAAUUGAGUCUCGCUCUGUUGCCAGGCUGCAGUGCAGUGGUGUGAUCUCGGCUCACUGCAACCUCUGCCUGCCGGGUUCAAGCAAUUCUUCUCUCUCAGCCUCCCGAGUAGCUGGGACUACAGGCAUGCAUCACCAUGCCCAGUAAAUUUUUGUAUUUUUUAGUAGAGAUGGGGUUUCACCAUGUUGGCCAAGAUGGUCUUGAUCUCCUGACCUCGUGAUCCACCUGCCUCAAAAGUGGACCACUUAUUCAUGCUGUCUUAAUGAAGAUGGAUGGUAUGGAAACUCUGCUCCCUGCUUAGUCCCACUGACUCAUCGCUCAUGAAAGGUGAACACAGCAUGCUACCACUUUAUUGCCAUGUAGUACCAACUUCUGUGAUGACAUAUGGUCAACUGGAGGGUCUUGUAAAUGAGUGGAACCUUGAACUGGAAGAUCAAGAGAAGUGCUUUCUUCUCCAGGCCACUCAGGUCAAUGCUUGGGACUGUACAUUGAUUGAAAAUGGUGAGAUGAUUAGUAUUUUACAUGGAGAAGUGAACAAAGGGAAACUGGAUCAGAAAAGCCCUUUUAUUAACUUAUUUUAUUCAGGUUGGAACAAGAAUUGGACUUUAUCCUGUCACAGCAGCAGGAACUAGAAUUUCUGUUGACUUAUUUAAAGGAGUCUAUGAGUGACCAGAGUGGACUUCAUUAUCUGCAGC